AGAGGGUGGCAAACGUUGCUCGGAAUUACUGGGCGUAAAGCGCGUGUAGGCGGACCACCAAGUCGGACGUGAAAGCCCUGAGCUCAACUCAGGAACUGCAUCCGAAACUGGCGGUCUGGAGUAGUGGAGAGGAAAGCAGAAUUCCUGGUGUAGAGGUGAAAUUCGUAGAUAUCAGGAGGAACACCGGUGGCGAAGGCGGCUUUCUGGACACUUACUGACGCUGAGACGCGAAAGCGUGGGGAGCAAACAGG
rnacentral:rRNA from 1 species